rnacentral:rRNA from 1 species
GACGAACGCUGGCGGCGUGGAUUAGGCAUGCAAGUCGAACGGUAGGAUACCUUCGGGUAUCUGAGAGUGGCGAACGGGUGAGUAACACGUAGGUGAUCUACCCUCAAGAUUGGGACAACCCAGGGAAACUUGGGCUAAUACCGGAUGAAAGCAGCAGUGAUGUUGUUUGAAAGGUGGCGUAAGCUGCCGUUUGGGGAUGAGCCUGCGCUCUAUUAGUUAGUUGGCGGGGUAAAGGCCCACCAAGGCGAUGAUAGAUAGGCGGCCUUAACGGGUGGUCGCCCACACUGGGAUUGAGAUACGGCCCAGACUCCUACGGGAGGCAGCAGUCGAGAAUAGUCUACAAUGGCCGAAAGGCUGAUAGCGCGACGCCGCGUGAACGAAGAAGCCCUUGGGGUGUAAGUUCUUUUAUAUGUGAGCAGUGCUUUCUAUGUGAACAGCAUGGGGAGAGAGAUAUUAGCAUAUGAAUAAGCAACGGCUAACUCCGUGCCAGCAC